rnacentral:lncRNA from 1 species
CCCACGGAUGGAGCCGCCCCAGCCACGGGCAGAGUUGAUGCUUGGCUGAUCUGAGUGGCCUCCUUUCUGGAUUUUUGCUGGGGGCUGAUCCUCCACAGCCAUGCUUUGAGCAAAAGACAGACGAGAGAAAGAGCGAGGCGUGUUUUGCUGAAUGACAAUGUUGCGCCUCUCCUGACCAAUAGCAAAUUUUAUCAGGGCUUCCACUGAG